GUACGGGAGGCAGCAGUGGGGAAUAUUGCGCAAUGGGGGAAACCCUGACGCAGCAACGCCGCGUGAGUGAAGAAGGCCUUCGGGUCGUAAAGCUCUGUCUUCGCUGACGAUAAUGACGGUAAGCGAGGAGGAAGCCACGGCUAACUACGUGCCAGCAGCCGCGGUAAUACGUAGGUGGCGAGCGUUGUCCGGAAUUACUGGGCGUAAAGGGUGCGUAGGCGGAUAUUUAAGUCAGAUGUGAAAUUCCAGGGCUUAACCCUGGAACUGCAUUUGAAACUGGGUAUCUAGAGUGCAGGAGAGGAAAGCGGAAUUCCUAGUGUAGCGGUGAAAUGCGUAGAUAUUAGGAAGAACACCAGUGGCGAAGGCGGCUUUCUGGACUGUAACUGACGCUGAGGCACGAAAGCGUGGGGAGCAAACAGGAUUAGAUACCCCGGUAGC
rnacentral:rRNA from 1 species